AGAAAUCUGGUGAAGAAAUACUGUCCUAAACGUUCAUCCAAAGACGAAGAGCCCAGGUUUACCUCAUGUAUAGCCUUUUAUAAUAUCCUUAAUGAAUUAAAUGACUACGCAGGACAGCGUGAAGUAGUAGCAGAAGAAUUGGGACAUAGAGUAUAUGGAGAACUGAUGAGAUAUUCCCACGAACUCAAAACAGAAAGGAAACUGCACCUUCAAGAGGGUCGAAAAGCACAACAGUAUCUUGACUUGUGUUGGAAACAAAUGGAUAAUAGCAAAAAGAAAUUCGAAAGAGAGUGCAAAGAAGCAGAAAAGGCACAGCAAUGUUAUGAGAGACUGGACAAUGAUACCAAUGCCACUAAAGCAGAUGUUGAAAAAGUAA